rnacentral:misc_RNA from 1 species
AACCAUAGAAACCUGCGGAGUACCUGCGGAAGGAUCAUUACCGAGUGAGGGCCCUCCGGGUCCAACCUCCCACCCGUGUUUAACGAACCUUGCUGCUUCGGCGGGCCCGCCUCACGGCCGCCGGGGGGCACCCCGCCCCCGGGCCCGCGCCCGCCGAAGACACCUGUGAACGCUGUCUGAAGUUGCAGUCUGAGACACUAGCUCAAUCAGUUAAAACUUUCAACAAUGGAUCUCAGAUCG